rnacentral:rRNA from 1 species
GAUGAACGCUAGCUACAGGCUUAACACAUGCAAGUCGCGGGGCAGCAUGGGGGUUGCUUGCAAUCCCCGAUGGCGACCGGCGCACGGGUGAGUAACGCGUAUCCAACCUGCCCUUCACCACGGGAUAACCCGGCGAAAGUCGGACUAAUACCGUAUGUUGUCCAUUGACGGCAUCCGAUUUGGACGAAAGGCUUGGCGGUGAGGGAUGGGGAUGCGUCCGAUUAGCCAGACGGCGGGGUAACGGCCCACCGUGGCUACGAUCGGUAGGGGUUCUGAGAGGAAGGUCCCCCACACUGGAACUGAGACACGGUCCAGACUCCUACGGGAGGCAGCAGUGGGGAAUAUUGGUCAAUGGGCGUAAGCCUGAACCAGCCAAGUAGCGUGCAGGAUGACGGCCCUAUGGGUUGUAAACUGCUUUUAUGCGGGGAUAAAGUGGCCCACGUGUGGGCUUUUGCAGGUACCGCAUGAAUAAGGACCGGCUAAUUCCGUG